GACGAACGCUGGCGGCGUGCUUAACACAUGCAAGUCGAGCGGAAAGGCCUCUUUCGGGGGGUACUCGAGUGGCGAACGGGUGAGUAACACGUGAGUAACCUGCCCUUGACUUUGGGAUAACUUCAGGAAACUGGGGCUAAUACCGGAUAGGAGCUCCUGCUGCAUGGUGGGGGUUGGAAAGUUUCGGCGGUUGGGGAUGGACUCGCGGCUUAUCAGCUUGUUGGUGGGGUAGUGGCUUACCAAGGCUUUGACGGGUAGCCGGCCUGAGAGGGUGACCGGCCACAUUGGGACUGAGAUACGGCCCAGACUCCUACGGGAGGCAGCAGUGGGGAAUAUUGCACAAUGGGUGGAAGCCUGAUGCAGCAACGCCGUGUGCGGGAUGACGGCCUUCGGGUUGGAAACCGCUUUCGCUCAUGACGAAGCUUUGUGUGACGGUAGUGGGUAAAGAAGCACCGGCUAACUACGUG
rnacentral:rRNA from 1 species